UGGGGAAUAUUGCACAAUGGGGGGAACCCUGAUGCAGCGACGCCGCGUGAGUGAAGAAGUCAUUCGUGAUGUAAAGCUCUAUCAGCAGGGAAGAAAAUGACGGUACCUGACUAAGAAGCCCCGGCUAACUACGUGCCAGCAGCCGCGGUAAUACGUAGGGGGCAAGCGUUAUCCGGAUUUACUGGGUGUAAAGGGAGCGUAGACGGCAUAGCAAGUCCGGAGUGAAAGCCCGGGGCCCAACCCCGGGACUGCUCUGGAAACUGUUAAGCUUGAGUGCGGGAGGGGCAGGCGGAAUUCCUGGUGUAGCGGUGAAAUGCGUAGAUAUCAGGAGGAACACCGGCGGCGAAGGCGGCCUGCUGGACCGUAACUGACGUUGAGGCUCGAAAGCGUGGGGAGCAAACAGGAUUAGAUACC
rnacentral:rRNA from 1 species